GACGAACGCUGGCGGCGUGCUUAACACAUGCAAGUCGAACGGAAAGGCCCUGCUUUUGUGGGGUGCUCGAGUGGCGAACGGGUGAGUAACACGUGAGUAACCUGCCCUUGACUUGGGGAUAACUUCAGGAAACUGGGGCUAAUACCGGAUAGGAGCUCCUGCUGCAUGGUGGGGGUUGGAAAGCUUGGGCGGUUGGGGAUGGACUCGGGGUUUAUCAGCUUGUUGGUGGGGUAGUGGCCUACCAAGGAUUUGACGAGUAGCCGGCCUGAGAGGGUGACCGGCUCCAGAGGCCUACGGGAGGGACCAGUGGGCAAUCGGGGGGCAGGGGUGAGAAUAUUGCACAAUGGGCGGAAGCGUGAUACGGCAGCGCCGCGAGCGGGAUGAAGGCCUUCGGGUUGUAAACCGCUUUCGCCUGAGACGAAGCGUGAGUGACGGUAAUGGGUAAAGAAGCACCGGCUAACUACGUG
rnacentral:rRNA from 1 species